rnacentral:lncRNA from 1 species
CCUUUAGUGGAACUUGAGGCUGGUGAGGAUGUUGUUGUUGACGGGGUCGGAGAGGUGGUCGAGGAGGUUCUGGAAGGGGCCGACGCCGGUGAAGAUGGCCUGGAUGGACAUGCCGAGGAAGGCGAGCAUGGCAAGGCGGCCGUUCUUGAUCUCCUUGAGCUUGAGCUCUGCCAACUCCUUGUCGCUCUUGGUGCCGAAGCCGAGCGGGUUGAAGAUGGGCCCGCCGGGGUAGGCGGGGUCGCCGGAGCCGCCGAGGAACUUCUCCAGGCCCAGGAAGUACUGCUUCCCCAUGGAGCCUGGGUUGUACCAGUCCUGCAGCCGCCGGUGCUCCGCGAACCCGAUCAGCGCCAUCUCGAACACGAACAGCGUGUAGGGGUCGGCCCAGUACUGGUACGUGCCCGCAGGCGGGAUGGCGCCCGCCUGGAACCACGGGAUCGCC